AGUGAACGCUGGCGGUAGGCCUAACACAUGCAAGUCGAACGGGAGCACAGUAAGAGCUUGCUCUUACGGGUGGCGAGUGGCGGACGGGGGAGGAAUACAUCGGAAACUACUUUUUCGGGGGGGAUAACGUAGGGAAACGUACGCUAAUACCGCAUACAACCUACGGGUGAAGGCAGGGGAUGUUCGGACCUUGCGCGAGGGAAUGAGCCGAUGUCGGAUUAGCUAGUUGGCGGGGUAGAGGCGCAGCAAGGCGACGGUCCGUAGCUGGUCUGAGAGGAUGAUCAGUCACACUGGAACUGGGACAAGGAGCAGACCCCUGAGGGAGGCACCGGCGGGAAAUAUUCGACAAUGGGCGGAAGCCUGAUCCAGCCAUACCGCGUGGGUGAAGAAGGCCUUCGGGUUGUAAAGCACUUUUGUUGGGAAAGAAAAGCGGCCGUUUAACACCCCGCUGUUCUGCCGUACCCCAAAGAAUAAGCCCCGGCUAACCCCGUG
rnacentral:rRNA from 1 species